GUGCUCGCUUUGGCGGCACACAUAUUAACAUUGGAACAACACAAAGAAGAUGAGCAUCACCUCGGCAUAAGGAAGACAUGCAAAUUCAUGAAGCAUUCCAUAUUUUU
ensembl:snRNA U6 U6 spliceosomal RNA